CCUACGGGUGGCAGCAGUCGAGAAUCAUUCACAAUGGGGGAAACCCUGAUGGAGCGACGCCGCGUGGGGGAAUGAAGGUCUUCGGAUUGUAAACCCCUGUCAUGUGGGAGCAAAUUAAAAAGAUAGUACCACAAGAGGAAGAGACGGCUAACUCUGUGACAGCCGCCGCGGUAAUACAGAGGGCUCAAGCGUUGUUCGGAAUCACUGGGCGUAAAGCGUGCGUAGGCUGGUUCGUAAGGCGUGUGUGAAAGGCGCGGGCUCAACCCGCGGACGGCACAUGAUACUGCGAGACUAGAGUAAUGGAGAGGGAAGCGGAAUUCUCGGUGUAGCGGUGAAAUGCGUAGAUAUCGGGAGGAACACUAGUGGCGAAGGCGGGUUCCUGGACAGUAACUGACGCUGAGGCACGAAGGCCAGGGGAGCGAAAAGGAUUAGAUACCCGGGUAGUC
rnacentral:rRNA from 1 species